AUUGAGCGCUGGCGGCAGGCCUAACACAUGCAAGUCGAACGGUAACAGAAAGCAGCUUGCUGCUUUGCUGACGAGUGGCGGACGGGUGAGUAAUGUCUGGGAAACUGCCUGAUGGAGGGGGAUAACUACUGGAAACGGUAGCUAAUACCGCAUAACGUCGCAAGACCAAAGAGGGGGACCUUCGGGCCUCUUGCCAUCGGAUGUGCCCAGAUGGGAUUAGCUAGUAGGUGGGGUAACAGCUCACCUAGGCGACGAUCCCUAGCUGGUCUGAGAGGAUGACCAGCCACACUGGAACUGAGACACGGUCCAGACUCCUACGGGAGGCAGCAGUGGGGAAUAUUGCACAAUGGGCGCAAGCCUGAUGCAGCCAUGCCGCGUGUAUGAAGAAGGCCUUCGGGUUGUAAAGUACUUUCAGCGGGGAGGAAGGGAGUAAAGUUAAUACCUUUGCUCAUUGACGUUACCCGCAGAAGAAGCACCGGCUAACUCCGUG
rnacentral:rRNA from 1 species